UGGGAACGUACCCUUUGGUUCGGAACAACCCAUGGAAACUUGGGCUAAUACCGGAUAAGUCCGUAAGGGAGAAAGAUUUAUCGCCAAAGGAUCGGCCCGCGUCUGAUUAGCUAGUUGGUAGGGUAAUGGCCUACCAAGGCUACGAUCAGUAGCUGGUCUGAGAGGAUGAUCAGCCACACUGGGACUGAGACACGGCCCAGACUCCUACGGGAGGCAG
rnacentral:rRNA from 1 species